UACGGGGGGAGCAAGCGUUGUUCGGAUUUACUGGGCGUAAAGGGCGCGUAGGCGGCCACCGCAAGUCAAUUGUGAAAUCUCGGGGCUUAACUCCGAAACUGCAUUCGAUACUGCCGUGCUUGAGGACUGGAGAGGAGACUGGAAUUUACGGUGUAGCGGUGAAAUGCGUAGAUAUCGUAAGGAAGACCAGUGGCGAAGGCGGGUCUCUGGACAGUUCCUGACGCUGAGGCACGAAGGCCAGGGGAGCAAACGGG
rnacentral:rRNA from 1 species